AAUAUAGAUCAAGUAAAUCCUAUCACCAAAUGAUACGAAAUAUAAGUAAUCUAAAAUGUGGUUCAAAUUGAAAAGUAACAAAAAAUUAUACCAGAGCGCAAGAUGUGGGAGGAUCCUUUUGCAGAUCCUUGAGUUCCUUCAAAAUACACUUUGAAGCCAUAACUCUUCAAGGGAUUAUUAAAAUUAAAGCUACAACGAACCUUAAGACCUGCAAAACUGUAAACAAAUCCAUAUACAACUUCUUAAUUAGACUAGCCAAGCUUGUAAAACCACAAAUUAUUUGAUCUACUGCAUUUGAAUCAAAAAGUUUAAAUCAAAAUUUCGAAAAUACUAAAAACAUAACGACACAAAUUGACCUUGCGUGGCAGAGAACAGGAUCGUAGGGCAAUAGCGUCGAGAAAGUGAAACGGUGAAGCAGAUCUACGUCGUCAAGCCGCCCCUGCCUCGCUCCUCUAACAACCCCUUGCUUUGUUCUUCAACACAAAUAUCGUCGAAAAAGAACGUUCGGUGUUACAAUGGAUUCACAUAAGCGAAAACAAACAAGCUAACCCUAAAUAGCGUGAACAAAUCAAAUCUUGAAAUUAUGAAAACACAAUCGAAAUCACGGCAUAAUUGAUUCACAUGAGCGACGACAAACAACAUGCAAACAAUAAAUUGGACCUGAGGAGUGGCUAAGAGGCCGGGAUGGUAGAGAGACUUUUGUUGAAGAAUCGCUUGCUGCACCAGUGCUUGUUGCUGCUGUCGAUGCUGCUUCAACCUCUGGUACUGCAUUUUCCUUCAGAAUCGAAGGAUUUGUAAACUGUUUGUCGAAGGAUUUGUAAACUGUUUGGUUCCUGAGAAAAUUUCGUUAAGGUUUCUCGAGAAAAUGAAAGAAAAGAAAAAAAACGAAGAAAAUGAGAGAGUGACGAGAGAAGCAGCUGUGUAUGACUGUUUUCGUUUAACACUUAGGAAAAAAAAGGAAGAAAGAAAGUUUAAA
rnacentral:lncRNA from 1 species